rnacentral:rRNA from 1 species
AUUGAACGCUGGCGGAAUGCCUAACACAUGCAAGUCGAGCGGGGGUAGCAAUACUUCAGCGGUGGACGGGUGAGGAACACAUAGGAACCUGCCUUUAGGUGGGGGAUAGCUUGGGGAAACUCAAGGUAAUACCGCAUGACCUCUAACGAGCAAAGGGGCGCAAGUCUCGCCUUUAGAGGGGCCUAUGUCUGAUUAGCUAGUUGGUGGUGUAAUGGACCACCAAGGCGACGAUCAGUAACUGGUUUGAGAGAACGAUCAGUCACACCGGGACUGAGACACGGUCCGGACUCGUACGGGAGGCAGCAGUGGGGAAUAUUGGACAAUGGGCGAAAGCCUGAUCCAGCAAUUCCGCGUGUGUGAAGAAGGCCUUCGGGUUGUAAGGCACUUUAAGCAGGGAAGAAAAAGCUUGGCCACACCAAGCCUUGACGGUACCUGAAGAAUAAGCACCGGCUAACUCUGUGCCAGCCGCCGCCGUAACAC